UCGGGCUGUGACGGAGACUUCUGGGAGGGUUUGUUGGGGGGUGGUGUUGGAGGUGGCAUAGUGGAGGAUUGUGUCGGAGAGGGAGGGUGGGAGCUUUGUGCAUGAUUGGGUGUUGAUUGUUUGAGGUGGUGGAUUGGGAGAGGAUGAGAGGGUGGAUUUUACAACGAAGAAGACGAUGAUGAGGGAGAGGGAGGAGAUGAGGAGGAGCUUGGGGUUGAACUUGAG
rnacentral:misc_RNA from 1 species